rnacentral:lncRNA from 14 species
CUUAAUGACUAAUUCUGUUCACAUAGUUGGUGAUGGAUUGAUUGAAAGUCACAUUUAUCUGUUUUCUGCAGACAAUCUUAUCCAGAAUUUUUGGACUGAAGGUACUAGAACUUCAUCUACAGAUGUGAAUCAUUUUUUAGUUCUGUCCAGAACAACAGAAUGCUUUGAAAUGCCAUCAGUAGCACAGAGAUGACAUGGAUAUCAUGUAGGAAGUACAUGAAGCCUUUUCCAAGAAUUGCACUGUGAUUUGCUGGAAUUUUUUUGUUAUUAAAAAUGAAACAGGAAAAAAACUAUCACACCCCCAAAAAAAAGAAAAAACACAAAAUACUUACAUUUUUUUACAGCUAAAAUUUGAAUACGAAGAGAACUGUAUUAAUUACAACUAUGAUAUUAUGUAAUGGCAAUGGUUGAUGCCAGUAAGUUGUUUUCUUUCAUUUUUUUUAAUGAAAGAACACAAAACUUCUUUGUUAGAAGUUUGUUACUUGUCUUAUUCAGUUUGCUGAAAGAUAAAUACCUCUGUGUUACUGCAUCAGUGUUUUACCGUCCAAAAGAAAAGCUCCCUUGUCAUGGAAUAGCCAACUUACUAUUGUGUCAAACUCCAUCACUUGCCAACCUGUCCUUGAAGGCUGUUGCCAAUACAGUAUUGGGCAGAAAUUGUCCCUUUGAGUUGAUCCUGUGAUACCUCCACUCUUCCACCUGAAAAAAAAAAUCAUAUUCUAUGUCCUUCAAAAUUCAUCUAUUCAUUUUGACGUGCAGUGUUGGCCUUUUCUUCUUCAUGCCUCAAGCAUUUAUCAUGCUUCUGUUCUCAACCAAACAAGACUGAAAGUGUGAGGUGUCAUCCCAUGGAAGAACUGUUUAGUGAAUGUGGGAUGGUGUGACCCUCAUGUUCUGCCUGAUAAGUGACAAAACCAGUGGAAAUAGAUUUCUCUCACAUCUAAAGUGCUUUGUUUAACUUUGUGUAUGCUGGAAAACUUGAAACUGCUUCUGAGAGCCAGUGCCUUCUGAGCUUUGUGAGUUGAGUGUGUGUUUGGAAAGAAUGGAAUUAAGAAUCUCUUCAAUGCGGGACAGGAGCGGGAAAUAUGCAUUUGAAACAUGAGACUUUCAAACUGCCAUGGUACUGGAGUGUUUUACUGCUGAAUGUCAUGUAUGUAUAUACAAGCACAUGCUUGUAUUCUGGUCUCAUUCAAUGUUUUGGUCAAGAUGGGGUUGUGAAGGGCAGAUCAGUUCUGGUCAUGAACUGAUUCAUGAACCACAUUCGCGUAGCUGUCGCACACAGCUUUUAAAUUUGGUGUGUAUUCUGUGACAGCCUGUUGUAGGGUAAAGAGCCUGGAGGUACAUCUAAAAGUUACUGAGAUCCACCUGAGCAAGGCUAAUUGUUUCAAUCCUCAGUGGUAGAAGAACUUGGUAGGACAGAAGCUGUAUGGUUUACUCACAGUCCUCGACCUCUCCUGUAAGAAGAUGCCUAUAUCAAAUGUGAAGACUAGACCCUAGAAGUGUGGUAUUUGUACUUCGAGAUCUAGGUUAUAAUACUAACUUUAUGCUUCCACAUUGACAGCUCACACUACAUGGGCCAGCCAACAGAGUUCCAGCAGCCUUGGGCCUCCUGAAGUAUUUUUGCUGACUAGAAUAAACUGAAUGAAAAUCUGCUACUUGUUAUUCCU